GGGAGGACAGAGAGGGAUAUCCAGGUAAACCUCUGGAAAUAUUUUCAUGGCCCUUCAUCGGGAGCAAUGACAGUGACUUCCACCUGUUCCGGGGAGAAGCCCAGAUGCACGAUGUCAAAGGCUGUGGCUCAUCAGCCCUGGGAGAGGCACCAGAGUCUCCAAGGAAUCUUUGCAAUGAUGGUGUCAUUCAUUCAGCAAAUUCAUUCAUUCAGCAAAUGUUUAUUGAAUUCUUACUAUGUGUCCACAUGGAGAUGCCAUUCUCCUAGGAGAAAGCAAGGCAUUAAAAAAUAAGCAUAAUACAUACAGCAAGUAUCAUGUUAAAAGACAAGUAUCAUGAAUAAAAAAGGAAACAUGGAAGAGAAUUGGGAGGGGGUUUUAGGAAUGCUGGGAAGAAGUGAAGAGUUUUCAGUAUUAAGUAGUACAGUCAGUUUAGGCCUCAUGAAGAAGAUGCCAUUUGAAUCAAGAUUUAAGAUCAUAAUGCUUCCUCAAGCCUUCUGAGAGGUAUUGAUAUGAUUAAGAGAAGUUGGUCUACUAGGAAAAUGGGUCAGCUUUGUGAUUCCCAUUGAUUUGGAAUCAUACUCUGUUUAAAUAAAAUUUUGGAACAUUUACGAGAACUUCUGCGUCACACUGUUUUAACUUUCAUUAAUCUGGUAGAUUGAAUCAUGUACCGCAACAAAAGACAUGUUCUCAAUCUUAAUCCAUGUCCCUGUGGGUGUGAACCCGUUUGGAAAUAGGACGCUUUGAAGGUGUAUCUUCACUUAGGGUGUGGACUCAUUUGUGAAUAGGAUCUUCUAAGAUUCUACUCAGGUGUGGCCAAAUUGAAUCAGGAGGGCCUUACUCCAUAUGACUGACGGACUUAUAAAGAGAAGGCAGAAGUCGGAGAAAACCACAAGAGAGAGUGAAGUAGAUCAUUGUGUAACAGAGGCAGAGUUGCUAGCCAAGGAACCACGAGGAUUGUGGCAAGAGGCAGUGGAAUGCUACAGACUCCCAGAGAAAGUGUGGCCCAUUGAGACAUUGAUAUUGGACAAUAAAGGAACUUAAAAGCCUGCUUCAAGGUAUGUAUUUAACUAUGUUUGUAGAUGGGACCACAUAUUCAUCAAAAGCCCUUUAAAGGUGAUUCUUGAAAUUCACUAGCCUUAUAAAUAGAGUAAGAUUUGUAAGCUGAAUUUCAAUUUAAGGAAGAACUGAUUCUGUAAAUGUAUAACCUUAAUAAAUUGAAUGUUACCUAUUUUAAUGAAUUAUUUUCAUGUGCUCUGACACGUAUAAAACUUGAUAUGUAAAGGGAACUCAUAGAAGUAAUGCUUUCCUGCUCUUCCUCAGAGAUAAAACAAUGUUUUCCCAGUUUUAUAAAUUCAAAGUAAUUGUUAACAUGUUGCCAGGCAAGUGAUGAUUGACAAAGACUUCGCAAUCGGAGUCUUUAAG